GUCAUUUUAAUCCAACUAAAAAAAAAGUGGCCACAGUGAAGAUUCAAUCCACUGCCCCACCGCCACUGCUACCGCUCCAUAGCCGAGCAUGCUAACCGCUGCACCACCAUUUAUUUGUGUCAC
rnacentral:lncRNA from 1 species